UAGGAUUAUAGUUAAAAAUAACAUUCAAAUUGCAAUUGAAAAGUACAAAAUUGUUAAUCUUAAACA
rnacentral:tRNA from 1 species